rnacentral:rRNA from 1 species
UAACGAGUAAGAAUGUGCCCCAAAGUGAGGGAUAAUUCGCCGAAAGGCGAACUAAUACCGCAUGUGAUCUUCGGAUUAAAGCUUUAUGCGCUUUGGGAACAGCUUGCUUCUGAUUAGCUAGUUGGUUGAGGUAAUGGCUCACCAAGGCGACGAUCAGUAGCUGGUCUGAGAGGAUGAUCAGCCACACUGGAACUGAGACACGGUCCAG